rnacentral:misc_RNA from 1 species
CGAUGCCACACCAACACCACUCUUAGCUGUUCCAUAUGCCGCUCCCAUACAGGAGAAGACGAGAGCGGCAGCGGCGCCAAGGAAGCCAAAGAAAGGUGCAGUUUCAUCGCCACUGAAACCAGAAGACAUGGUUAAUUAAGGGAUGUAAAAAAAAAAAAAACGGUGUCGUUUGGAUCUGAGAUCGCAGAGAGUGUCUGGAGUAUCGAUCCCUCCUUGAUCUCUCUCUGGUAGUUUGUUUUUG